UAAAAAUAAGCGCAGGGCCGAGGCCUUUAUUAAAAGCAGCUCUUUUAUUGAACGAAUGGGGGGUCGCAGGAAUGCCAGCACCUGCUGCUGCUCAGCCAGUCCCAACACCGGAAAGGAGGUGCCACGUCCAUCCUGCCAAACGGUGGAGGGAAGGAAAUGGAAGGAGGGGCAGGUUACAGGGAUGGACAGAGAAGGAACUGGAACAAGGGGCAGGGUUACAGUGAUGGACAGGGAAGGAACUGGAACAAGGGGCAGAGUACCAUGAUGGACAGGGAAGGAACUGGAACAAGGGGCAGAGUACCAUGAUGGACAGGGAAGGAACUGGAACAAGGGGCAGAGUACCAUGAUGGACAGGGAAGGAACUGGAACAAGGGGCAGAGUACCAUGAUGGACAGGGAAGGAACUGGAACAAGGGGCAGAGUACCAUGAUGGACAGGGAAGGAACUGGAACAAGGGGCAGAGUACCAUGAUGGACAGGGAAGGAACUGGAACAAGGGGCAGAGUACCAUGAUGGACAGGGAAGGAACUGGAACAAGGGGUGGGGUUACAGUGAUGGACAGGGAAGGAAGUGGAACAAGGGGCGGGGUUACAAUGAUGGACAGGGAAGAAACUGGAACAAGGGGCAGGGUUACAGUGAUGGACAGGGAAGGAACUGGAAGGGGGGGGGGGGGGGGGGGGGGGGGGGGGGGGGGGGGGGGGGGGGGGGGGGGGGGGGGGGGGGGGGGGGGGGGGGGGGGGGGGGGGGGGGGGGGGGGGGGGGGGGGGGGGGGGGGGGGGGGGGGGGGGGGGGGGGGGGGGGGGGGGGGGGGGGGGGGGGGGGGGGGGGGGGGGGGGGGGGAAGGAACUGGAACGAGGGGCGGGGUUACAAUGAUGGACAGGGAAGGAACUGGAAGAAGGGGCGGGGUUACAAUGACGGACAGGGAAGGUACUGGAACAAGGGGCGGGGUUACAAUGAUGGACAGGGAAGGAACUGGAACAAGGGGUAGGGGUUACAAUGAUGGACAGGGAAGGUACUGGAACAAGGGGUGGGGUACCAUGAUGGACAGGGAAGGAACUGGAAGAAGGGGUGGGGGUUACAAUGAUGGACAGGGAAGGAACUGGAAGAAGGGGCGCGGGGUACAAUGAUGGACAGGGAAGGUACUGGAACAAGGGGCGGGGAAGUUCAAACAGGGUUGUUUUGGGGGUGGGUACAACUUGGGGACAAACUAGGGGUAAACACGGGGGUACAUAGGAACAAACCAUUGUAACAAUGAACUGGACAAAACAAGCACGUGGCACAACACCUCAUCUCUCUGACUGCCCGG
rnacentral:lncRNA from 12 species